AUAAUUGUUCACUUCUACUACUUCUUCUGAAUAACGAGUCAAUGCAACUAAUUUAAUACCAUCAAGAUCAGAUGUUCCUUCUUCUAAAACAAAAAAAAAAUUAUUAAUGAAAACUUCCCUGGAUAAGAACAUUAACAACUUAUGAGCUAAUUAUUGGAUAAAACUUUCCUAAAAUGAAGAUGGCCGUUUCAUCAAAACAAGUAAACGAGCAAU
rnacentral:lncRNA from 1 species